UAGGCCCGCCCUGUCUUGCUGGAUGUGUGGGGAGGAAAACUAUAGGAAGCACAGCUACCACUCAUCAACUCAUCAAUCAUCAUCAACUCCAUUACAAUGCCUUGCUUGCAUUACUGACAAAGGGGUUGUCUGGUAGUCUAACUUUCAGUCUGUCUGACUCACUUUGAGUCACUUUGUGUAUGACUCUGUUUCAAUCGUUCACUUUCCUUCUUUCUCUUUCUCAUUAUGUUUCUAUAUUUAAUACCUCUUCACAGUGUCCUGAAACAGAAUGUCUGUCAUUAUGUUUCUAUAUUUAAUACCUCUUCACAGUGUCCUGAAACAGAAUGUCUGUCAUUAUGUUUCUAUAUUUAAUACCAGUGUCCUGAAACAGAAUGUCUGUCAUUAUGUUUCUAUAUUUAAUACCAGUGUCCUGAAACAGAAUGCCUGUCAUUAUGUUCCUGUCCAGCAUCUUACUGUCCAAUGUCCUCCAGGAACAAACAUCGUCCAUGACGGUGUGAUUCUAUAUCCUCAGCCACUAGAUAUAAAAACCCCAUGUUGACGAAGCGCUGCCCAUCUCAUUAAACUCUAUUAAGUCAAUCAAUGCGUGAUGUCAUACGCAUUAGCUAAAGUAAUGCAUGUCUGGCGUCCCUCCUAAAUACCACCCUUCCCCCAGCUAGCCUAUCCCUUGUUAAUACUUUACUGGUCUCUGCUGGUAAUGUGUUCCAAAUGACACCAAAUUCCCUAUCUAGUGCACUUCUUUUGGGGCCCAUAGAGCUCUGGUCAAAAAGUAGUGCAAUAGAUCUUAGAGAAUAGGGUGUCAUUUGGAAUGCGAGACUAGUGUGGCAGGUGACCUUGUAACUCAGUCCCACUGUAACGUAGAGCAGGGUUGGGGCAAUGCAUUUAACAGGCUCCUGUGUGUGUGUGUGUCCUUUGAUUUAGAAUACAUCCUAAGAUGUGUAUAACUGUCAAAUAAAUCCUGAAUCUAGAGUAUAAGAUAAAACUUUGACACCUAACGUAGCCACUUCAUAUGCACACUCAGUGCCAGAGGGUUCUGGUCUAAAGUAGUGCACUAGAUAGGGAAUAGGGUGCCAAGAGCUCUGGUCUAAAGUAGUGCACUAGAUAGGGAAUAGGGUGCCAUACGGUUUUGGUCUAAAGUAGUGCACUAGAUAGGGCCUAGGGUUCCAUAGGGCUCUGGUCUAAAGUAGUGCACUAGAUAGGGCCUAGGGUUCCAUAGGGCUCUGGUCUAAAGUAGUGCACUAGAUAGGGCCUAGGGUUCCAUAGGGCUCUGGUCUAAAGUAGUGCACUAGAUAGGGCCUAGGGUUCCAUAGGGUUCUGGUCUAAAGUAGUGCACUAGAUAGGGAAUAGGGUGCCAUAGGGCUCUGGUCUAAAGUAGUGCACUAGAUAGGGAAUAGGGUUCUAUAGGGCUCUGGUCUAAAGUAGUGCACUAUAUAUAGGGAAUAGGGUGCCAUUUCAGACACAGACAAUAUCUCUUUAUUUACAGUCGGCUGCAAAUCACAUGACACUGUAACGACCAAUUAACAACAAGUUGUGACGAUGCAAUAAAGGAUAUUCUCAGAAAGUGAAUAUGAAAACUGUUUACUCUGGGUGCACACACACACACACACACAUAUAUAUACACACACACACACACACACAAACACACACACACACACAUAUAUAUAUAUAUAUAAACUGCUCAAAAAAAUAAAGGGAACACUAAAAUAACACAUCCUAGAUCUGAAUGAAUGAAAUAUUCUUAUUAAAUACUUUUUUCUUUACAUAGUUGAAUGUGCAGACAACAAAAUCACACAAAAAUUAUCAAUGGAAAUCAAAUUUAUCAACCCAUGGAGGUCUGGAUUUGGAGUCACACUCAAAAUUAAAGUGGAAAACCAAACUACAGGCUGAUCCAACUUUGAUGUCUAAAUGAGGCUCAGUAGUGUGUGUGGCCUCCAUGUGCCUGUAUGACCUCCCUACAACGCCUGGGCAUGCUCCUGAUGAGGUGGCGGAUGGUCACCUGAGGGAUCUCCUCCCAGACCUGGACUAAAGCCUUCCGCCAACUCCUGGACAGUCUGUGGUGCAAUGUGGCUGUUGGUGGAUGGAGGGAGACAUGAUGUCCCAGAUGUGCUCAAUUGGAUUCAGGUCUGGGGAACGGGCGGGCCAUUCCAUAGCAUCAAUGUCUUCCUCUUGCAGGAACUGCUGACACACUCCAGCCACACGAGGUCUAGAAUUGUCUUGCAUUAGGAGGAACCCAGUGCCAACCGCACCAGCAUAUG
rnacentral:lncRNA from 13 species